GGUAAUCGCGGCUGCAAUCGCCGAAAGGCGGCAGGUGAGGAAAGUCCGGGCUUCACAGGGCAGGAUGCCGGAUAACGUCCGGUGGAGGCGACUCCAAGGCCAGUGCAACAGAAAUGUACCGCCGGGAAGAUUUCCCGGUAAGGGUGGAAGGGCAGUGUAAGAGACUACCGCCCUCCUGGUAACAGGAGGGGCACAUGUAAACCCCAUCCGAAGCAAGACCGAAUAUAGACAAUGCGGCGGCCCGUCGCGUCUUAGGUAGGUCGCUUGAGCCUGCCGGCAACGGCAGGCCUAGAUAGAUGAUUACCCAACGACAUAACCCGGCUUAUCGUUAUGCUUG
rnacentral:RNase_P_RNA from 1 species